CGAUGAAGGGGGAGCUUGCUCUCCUGGAUUAGUGGCGAACGGGUGAGUAACACGUGAGCAAUCUGCCCUUGACUCUGGGAUAAGCGCUGGAAACGGCGUCUAAUACCGGAUACGAGCUGCGAAGGCAUCUUCAGCAGCUGGAAAGAACUUCGGUCAAGGAUGAGCUCGCGGCCUAUCAGCUUGUUGGUGAGGUAAUGGCUCACCAAGGCGACGACGGGUAGCCGGCCUGAGAGGGUGACCGGCCACACUGGGACUGAGACACGGCCCAGACUCCUACGGGAGGCAGCAGUGGGGAAUAUUGCACAAUGGGCGCAAGCCUGAUGCAGCAACGCCGCGUGAGGGAUGACGGCCUUCGGGUUGUAAACCUCUUUUAGCAGGGAAGAAGCGAGAGUGACGGUACCUGCAGAAAAAGCACCGGCUAACUACGUGCCAGCAGCCGCGGUAAUACGUAGGGUGCGAGCGUUAUCCGGAAUUAUUGGGCGUAAAGAGCUCGUAGGCGGUCUGUCGCGUCUGCUGUGAAAACCCGAGGCUCAACCUCGGGCUUGCAGUGGGUACGGGCAGACUAGAGUGCGGUAGGGGAGAUUGGAAUUCCUGGUGUAGCGGUGGAAUGCGCAGAUAUCAGGAGGAACACCGAUGGCGAAGGCAGAUCUCUGGGCCGUUACUGACGCUGAGGAGCGAAAGCGUGGGGAGCAAACAGGCUUAGAUACCCUGGUAGUCCACGCCGUAAACGUUGGGAACUAGAUGUGGGGACCAUUCCACGGUCUCCGUGUCGUAGCUAACGCAUUAAGUUCCCCGCCUGGGGAGUACGGCCGCAAGGCUAAAACUCAAA
rnacentral:rRNA from 1 species